AUAGGUGUGUAUAUAAUUUAUAUCUCAGGAUCCAAGAUGUUGGAAAUCACGGAGAAAGCACGAUCUAUUUAAUUACACUUCCUGAAAUUUACGAGAUUAAGAAAGGAAUGCCAAAACAUUCUCCGGAUGUUCGCUGAGGUGUUGUGCCGGUGUGAGGCAAUUAUCAGCGCACCAAUCUCAUUAAUAUCCCCCGUUUCCCUGCUACAGUAGCUAGGACGAGAAGGUAAACCUAACAAGAAUCUCGCCAAGAUGUGCCUGCUUGACCGCCAAAGUACUCGUACAAUGGAAGUCGCUCAAUCUUUGCGUCACAUCAAAGUGGACAAAACCCGCGGAUAGCCGGUACGGUGGAGGAAGGAAUUUGCUUGUCCGUAGCAUAUUGUGAUUUGCACUAUUGCAAUUAUUCCGGGCUAGGUAUAUCCUCUGUCUGUCUAUAUACCGGACAAUAUUCUCUGUCUGCCUGGACAAUAUUCUCUUCUGUCUAUAUAUGUUUGCUAAAAGCAUAGUUCAGUGAUCUGAUGUUCGCAAAACAGCGAACGCGUACGAGAGUUAGGAGCGGAAUAUGGGGCGCCAAAACAGCCCACCUCGAGCUCCCCCGGACUAUAAAGCUCCACUCGUUCAAACACAUGUCUGCCUGAAGGCUCACACGUUCGCGCCCGUGUUACACGGACGAUCUUGAGGAAUUCUCCACAUCCGCCACAAGACAAACACCUACAGCCGUGGCUCGUCUGAGUCAGCGUCGUAUCAGACGCGCUGGCACAGCAAAUCCUGUACACUGUACUGUUCCUUUCAUGUGCGGCGCAACGAUAUCGGUCUAAGCGGCCACACCGCUUCACCACCGCGGUCCGUAAAGUCCCGUGUUCUGGCAUUUUAUCAGGCACUUCAAGAAUUGCCCUUCAGGUUUCACAAAUAUACUGCUCUGCCAUAACAAAUAUGCUGCUCUUCUCUGCUGCUUUUACAGAUAUACUGCUGCGAGUGUCACCGGUAUAGAGGAAGCAACCAACUAUCCCGAUCGGCUGGGUCGUGAUCGGCCGAUCAGGGACUAGCCGAUCAGGGUGGUUGGCUCACGGCGACGAAGCCCGGUCCAACGCUGCGGCCGCGGGAACUGUCAUACUGGGUGCUGCACGUGAAGGUGCAACUGCUCCGGUUUCAAGCAUGAAGUGUGGCAUGGCCGCAUGGGCAUCACAUGCACGGAAUCGCGCAGAAUUCUGGAAUAUACGGCGACCUGGAGAUGCCGGCAGCGGUUCUGACUGAUUUGUCCGAUUUGGACAAAGGAGUUAACGGAUCCGUUUCCACUAUCCACGAUGGUACACAAUAGAAACAAAUUCGGGAAUGCUGAAUCUG